UCCUUGUUAGUAUAGUGGACAGUAUCUCCGCCUGUCACGCGGAAGACCGGGGUUCGAUUCCCCGACGGGGAG
rnacentral:tRNA from 1 species